rnacentral:rRNA from 1 species
UACAGAGGGGGGCAAGCGUUGUUCGGAAUUACUGGGCGUAAAGGGCGCGUAGGCGGCCUGUUAAGUCGAACGUGAAAUCCCCGGGCUCAACCCGGGAACUGCGUCCGAUACUGGCAGGCUUGAAUUCGGGAGAGGGAUGUGGAAUUCCAGGUGUAGCGGUGAAAUGCGUAGAUAUCUGGAGGAACACCGGUGGCGAAGGCGGCAUUCUGGACCAUAACUGACACUGAGAGACGAAAGCCAGGGGAGCAAACGGG